AAAAUAUUGUCUAUUUAAUUAAAGUAUUUGCCGUACGGUAGCGUAAUAGACGAUAUUUUGAGAUAAACAAAAACGUGGUUACUCUAGGUUUUUUAAUAUCACUGAUUAAUUUUGAUUCAAAGCGCCUAUUUUUUAGAAAUCGGACGUCGGUUGCAGUAUUUUUCAAGUGUUGUUAGUUUUGUGGUACAUUUAGUCUUAAAAUAAUUACAUCACAUACGAAAUGUCUACCGAAAAUUUACGACGAUCUUCACGACUAAAAGUAAGAAAACCUAAAAGGUAUAUGUCAUCCAAUUCAGAUGAAAAUUUGGAUGAUAAUCCAGUAAAUGCAGUAGAAGAUGAACUUAGAGAUGUAGAGGAGAAUGUACAAAAGCCAGUUGAAUUAUUUUCAAGCGAUGAUGUAAGUGGACAGGCAUUAUAUAAAUUCCAAACACCUAGUAGAAAAGAUGCUAUGACAAAGAAGGCACAUUUAUGUCGUACACCUAUUAAUGAUGUUUUAUUACCCAUAGCUAAAGUUGUUCUUGAAAAGAUAAAUGUUUAUAAUAAAGAACAACCAAAAACAUCAAAGAAAGACCAGAAAAUUUCAAAAAUUCCUGUUAUUCAAAGAAAAUAUGAAUUUGGAUUAACAUCAAGUGAAAAUGAGAGUAUAUCUGAAUCUAGUGAUUACCAUCCAAUUGAAGAUACUGAAGAAACAACCGAUAGUGAGGAUGUAGUAUCUAGCAAUGACGAAAAAGAUCAGAUGAAAAUAAGGAACCAAAAGCAAAAAUUUAUAUCACAGUCACAUUUAUUGAAUACACCAAAAAGAGUAACUAGAAAAAAUAAACCUUCAAUUAUUCAUAAAGAUUUUCAUAUGCAAACUGAUGAAUACUUUGCAACACAAUCAGAAAAGGUAGUUACAUCCGAUCGGACAUUAGAACAUUUACGUAAUUCUCGUUUAACAAAAGAAAAAUUGGAAAAAUUGUUAACAAAUCAAAGUCAUGUGUCUUUACAACAUAAAAAGAAAAUUUAUUCAAUAACUAAUAACUACUCUACGCUGUUCCCUAUGUGGUAUUUUAUUAUGGAGCAAGGCUAUACUGUAUUGCUUUAUGGCUUAGGUUCAAAAAGAUGUUUAAUCAAUGAUUUUUAUAAAAGUAUAUCUUAUCAUCCAUCACUAGUAGUUAAUGGAUUCUUUCCUAGUUUAACUAUGAAAGAUAUACUUGAUGGUAUAAUUAUUGAUUUAUUGGAGUUAAAUUGUCCUAGCAAUACAACUGAAUGUAUUGAUCUUAUUGAAAAAACCUUAAGGAAAAAUCCAAAAGACAGAUUGUAUUUGUUAAUACAUAAUAUAGAUGGUAUGAUGCUACGUUCAAAUAAAGCUCAAGAUUUACUAUCUUGUCUUGCAAAUAUACCAAAUAUUUGUGUUUUAGCAUCAGUUGAUCACAUUAAUGCCCCGCUAUUAUGGGACCAUACAAAACACUCCAAAUUCAAGUUUUUUUGGUGGGACACAACAACAUUUCUAUCUUAUCAAGAAGAAACAUCUUAUGAAAGUUCGCUCUUGGUUAAGCAAAGUGGUGCUCUUGCUUUAUCAUCUCUUCAUAAUGUUUUCCUUUCUCUAACUUCAAAUGCUAAGUCAAUCUAUUUAUUGCUUGUAAAAAAUCAGCUAAGCAACAGUAAUAAUGUUAAUUUUACUGGAAUGGCAUUUAAAGAUCUUUAUCGAGCUGCUCGUGAAGGAUUUCUUGUAAGCUCAGAUUUAGCAUUAAGAGCACAAUUAACUGAGUUUAUAGAUCACAAGUUAGUUAAAAUAAAGCGCAAUAUUGAUAGUAUUGAACAUCUUAUCAUUCCAUUAAGUUCUGGACUUCUAAAGCAGUUUCUAGAAGAACACGAUACAUGAUAUUUUUUACUACCUGUAGCAUAUAAAAUAUGGUAACCUAUAAACACAUUUGCUGUGGCACUGAAGUAAUUACAUUGGUACAAGAGCUUCGAUGUCCUUUAUUUGAACCGUGCUCAGGCCUCGCUGCCUGAACAAAACGAGCUAUGUCGACGAGUAGAAACACAGUUUUAAGAGGAAAUUUCAUCUUUUCCACGCUUCGGGGAAAGGAAAGUUUUAUUUGUUGUAUCGUCAGUUUUGUUUUACGUUAUAAUAUAAAAUUAUAAUUAUAAACGAUUUUAUCUUGAAUUUUUGUUUUAAUAUUAUGGAAAAUCUGAAACAAGGGUCGAGUUUAUAAUUAUUCACAGCACUAUAUAUUAUGUUUGCAUAGUGAUCGCCCUUAUUAUUAUCUUAUUAAAUAUAAAUCCGUUAUUAAAAUUAUUCCAGCUUUUUAUAUCUUUUAUUUUAUAAACAUUCUUUUGUCCGCCACUGCAUAUUACUUUCUCUGUUCAAACUUUUUAUCAGCGCGAUAGAAUACGCAGCGUGGUAGUAAACAGCCUUCGUAGCACAUACUUAUGCUCGCGUACGAUCGAAUCGUGACAGAACUGGCAAUGAAGCUUUCUACCAAACCCGUGGUCGUGCUCGUAUGCAAUCGCCAACACAACAACAUCGCCUUGUGGUCUAAACCAUCAGCGGUUAGAAUGUAUUUCUUUGUGGCUGCUUUAUCGAACGUUGGUUUAUCUCGCGGACGCAACGUUGAAGGCUUCUAUUGUAAUAUUUCGUUCGAUUCGGUUUAACAAAGGUGGGGGAGAAUAGUGUCGAGAGCAAACGAAACAUUUAGUAAUUGAAUGUAGCGAAUUAAACAAUGGUAGGGUAUCGUACGAGCCGACAAAUGGGCGUACCACUAGUAGUUUCACCGACAGACCUUCUCUUGAUGAAGACUAUUACUCAUUACACUUCCUGCCCGGCAGAACGCUAUCGACUAAAGUGAUGAAUCACGAGGCUAUAAGCAGAUCUUCGACUUUAUAAUUACAAUUUAAUGAAUGCGGCUACGAUGAUCGUGUGGAACUUCACCUGCUGCUAACCUUGGCAUUGUACAACUAAACUUUAGCGCGAACUUACAUUUCCAACCAGCCACUUUUUUUAUGGUUAGACCUGCUCUGUGCUUGAUGGAUUAAAAGUACAUGUUGCGUUUUAACUUAUUAGCGGAUUACAAGCGUACACGUGAUUGCACAUGCAUCAAUGCAUUUGAGUAUACAUUUGCUUAAGCUUGUCAUUAUAAUAUUGUUUACCACGUUGGAUAGUGGUGGAUGAAGUUGUCGGAAUUAACUUCCUAUAUUCGUUGGAAUUUGUAUUCGAUGACGCGUUAGUUUCUAGUUUUUGUGUAGUCUAUCGAUAACAAACGUAUCAUGAAAGUAAA